GUGUCAGCAGCCGCGGUAAUACGGAGGGGGCUAGCGUUGUUCGGAAUUACUGGGCGUAAAGGGCGCGUAGGCGGCGAUUCAAGUCAGGCGUGAAAGGCCUGGGCUCAACCCGGGAACUGCGUUUGAUACUGGAUUGCUGGAGUCCGGGAGAGGAUGGCGGAAUUCCCAGUGUAGAGGUGAAAUUCGUAGAUAUUGGGAAGAACACCGGUGGCGAAGGCGGCCAUCUGGACCGGAACUGACGCUGAGGCGCGAAAGCGUGGGGAGCAAACAGGAUUAGAAACCCCCGUAGUCC
rnacentral:rRNA from 1 species